rnacentral:rRNA from 1 species
CAGCCGCCGCGGUAAUACGUAGGUGGCAAGCGUUGUCCGGAAUUAUUGGGCGUAGAGGGCUCGCAGGCGGUUUCUUAAGUCUGAUGUGAAAGCCCCCGGCUCAACCGGGGAGGGUCAUUGGAAACUGGGAAACUUGAGUGCAGAAGAGGAGAGUGGAAUUCCACGUGUAGCGGUGAAAUGCGUAGAGAUGUGGAGGAACACCAGUGGCGAAGGCGACUCUCUGGUCUGUAACUGACGCUGAGGAGCGAAAGCGUGGGGAGCGAACAGGAUUAGAUACCCCCGUAGUCCCUGUCUCUUAUAC